CAUAGGUUAAUGAGGCGAACCGGGGGAACUGAAACAUCUAAGUACCCCGAGGAAAAGAAAUCAACCGAGAUUCCCCCAGUAGCGGCGAGCGAACGGGGAGGAGCCCAGAGCCUGAAUCAGUGUGUGUGUUAGUGGAAGCGUCUGGAAAGGCGCGCGAUACAGGGUGACAGCCCCGUACACAAAAAUGCACAUAUUGUGAGCUCGAUGAGUAGGGCGGGACACGUGGUAUCCUGUCUGAAUAUGGGGGGACCAUCCUCCAAGGCUAAAUACUCCUGACUGACCGAUAGUGAACCAGUACCGUGAGGGAAAGGCGAAAAGAACCCCGGCGAGGGGAGUGAAAAAGAACCUGAAACCGUGUACGUACAAGCAGUGGGAGCCUCUUAAUGGGGUGACUGCGUACCUUUUGUAUAAUGGGUCAGCGACUUAUAUUCUGUAGCAAGGUUAACCGAAUAGGGGAGCCGAAGGGAAACCGAGUCUUAACUGGGCGUUAAGUUGCAGGGUAUAGACCCGAAACCCGGUGAUCUAGCCAUGGGCAGGUUGAAGGUUGGGUAACACUAACUGGAGGACCGAACCGACUAAUGUUGAAAAAUUAGCGGAUGACUUGUGGCUGGGGGUGAAAGGCCAAUCAAACCGGGAGAUAGCUGGUUCUCCCCGAAAGCUAUUUAGGUAGCGCCUCGUGAAUUCAUCUCCGGGGGUAGAGCACUGUUUCGGCAAGGGGGUCAUCCCGACUUACCAACCCGAUGCAAACUGCGAAUACCGGAGAAUGUUAUCACGGGAGACACACGGCGGGUGCUAACGUCCGUCGUGAAGAGGGAAACAACCCAGACCGCCAGCUAAGGUCCCAAAGUCAUGGUUAAGUGGGAAACGAUGUGGGAAGGCCCAGACAGCCAGGAUGUUGGCUUAGAAGCAGCCAUCAUUUAAAGAAAGCGUAAUAGCUCACUGGUCGAGUCGGCCUGCGCGGAAGAUGUAACGGGGCUAAACCAUGCACCGAAGCUGCGGCAGCGACACUAUGUGUUGUUGGGUAGGGGA
rnacentral:rRNA from 1 species